AAAGGGUGCCAAGUGUCAAGAUGGAGCUGUGAAACCGUCUCCCACUCAAUACAGUCAGACGGCACAUCGUGGGGUGUUUUUGUUUGUAAGAUGAUUUGAGCAGUCUGUGCCUGUUUUGUGGAGAGCAGGACAAUCUGGAGGAUGCAGUGUCACAACAGAAAUGGGAGACACCAGCAGCUCCGGGAACUUAGUGUCUUGUCCCUCUCCUCUCUGCGCUGCCUCAUCUUCCAGAGCAUCCCUGAGCCUUGGAGACAGACAGCCCCUCACCUCCCUCAGCACCUUCGCUGCCUGCCUCUCACAUCGCCAGCCCAGCAUGCCUUUCAAUUCAGCUGCACUCAGCCAGCAAGAUA